rnacentral:lncRNA from 10 species
ACUCCAGCCUGGGAGACAGAGCAAGACUGUCUCAAAAAAAAAAAAAAAAGUUAUUUCACUAGCAACAUAUAAUUACCAUAAAACAAAGGAGGGUUUUAAAUGAACUACACAUGCAAAAUACACUAGAAAAGCUAGAUAUUUUUAAAAACGUGGUGAAUUAUUUGGUAAAGCCAAAAUAUUUUAAUUCAUAAGUUACUAUUCCCCCAAUGCAUCUAUUUUGUAAAUGCUGUUUCACAUAUGAGGUUUGUAAAAAAGCAAAAUAUAUGUAUAAAAUGGCGUACAUAAAGAUGUUCUACAAAUAUAGCCAGAAGUUAUUGUUUUACUGUAUGCAAAGAGUGAUGGCAAUUUUUAAUUCAAAUGUUUUUAAAUAUUUCGAACUGAAACUAAAUCUUACCAAUGUAAAAUUGCCACAAAGACGGCUGGAAAAGAGAAAAGUUAUUAAAAGCUGCUUUAUUAUAAAAUACCAUUAAAA